rnacentral:rRNA from 1 species
ACCGGCGCCUCAAGUGGUAGUCGCUUUUAUUGGGCCUAAAACGUCCGUAGCCGGUCUGAUACAUUCGUGGGUAAAUCAACCAGCUUAACUGGUUGAAUUCUGCGAGGACGGUCAGACUUGGGACCGGGAGAGGUGUGGGGUACGCUCAGGGUAGGGGUAAAAUCCUGUCAUCCUGAGCGGACCACCUGUUGCGAAGGCGCCACACUAGAACGGAUCCGACGGUCAGGGACGAAGCCUAGGGGCACGAACCGGAUUAGAUACCCGGGUAGUCCUAGGUGUAAACGCUGUGAACUUGGUGUCGGGAGUCCGCAAUGGGCCCCCGGUGCCGGAGUGAAGAUGUUAAGUUCACUGCCUGGGGAGUACGGUCGCAAGGCUGAAACUUAAAGGAAUUGGCGGGGGAGCACUGCAACGGGAGGAGCGUGCGGUUUAAUUGGAUUCAACGCCGGAAAACUCACCAGGGCCGACUGUUAGAUGAAGACCAGCGUAAUGAGCUUGUCGGAUUUUCAGAGAGGUGGUGCAUGGCCGUCGUCAGUUCGUACUGUAAAGCGUUCUGUUAAGUCAGAUAACGAACGAGACCCUCAUCUCUAUUUGCUACCCGUCUCUCCGGAGGCGGCGCACUAUAGGGAGACCGCUGGUGUUAAACCAGAGGAAGGCGAGGGCAACGACAGGUCAGUAUGCCCCGAAUGUCCUGGGCUACACGCGCGCUACAAAGGACGGGACAAUGGGAAGCCAGGCCGAGAGGCCGAGCUACCCCGAAACCCGUUCAUAGUUCGGAUCGUGGGCUGUAACUCGCCCACGUGAAGCUGGAUUCCGUAGUAAUCGUGUUUCAAUAUAGCACGGUGAAUAUGCCCCUGCUCCUUGCACACACCGCCCGUCAAACCAUCUUAGUUGGGGGUGGGUGAGGCUGCGCUU